GAGUUUGAUCCUGGCUCAGAUUGAACGCUGGCGGCAUGCCUUACACAUGCAAGUCGAACGGCAGCACGGGAGCUUGCUCCUGGUGGCGAGUGGCGAACGGGUGAGUAAUGCAUCGGAACGUAUCCUGGAGUGGGGGAUAACGUAGCGAAAGUUACGCUAAUACCGCAUAUUCUGUGAGCAGGAAAGCGGGGGACCUUCGGGCCUCGCGCUCUUGGAGCGGCCGAUGUCGGAUUAGCUAGUUGGUGAGGUAAAGGCUCACCAAGGCGACGAUCCGCAGCAGGUCUGAGAGGAUGAUCUGCCACACUGGAACUGAGACACGGUCCAGACUCCUACGGGAGGCAGCAGUGGGGAAUUUUGGACAAUGGGGGCAACCCUGAUCCAGCCAUGCCGCGUGAGUGAAGAAGGCCUCGGUUGUAAG
rnacentral:rRNA from 1 species